UAUGUACUCCCUCCCUCCGGAAAUACUUGUCAUCAAAAUGGAUAAAAGGGGAUGUAUCUAGACGUAUUUUAGUUUUAGAUACAUUUCUUUUUAUCCAUUUUGAUGACAAGUAUUUUCGGACGGAGGGAGUAAUCA
rfam:Triticum aestivum genome assembly, contig: Triticum_aestivum_CS42_TGACv1_scaffold_486154_6AS